rnacentral:rRNA from 2 species
ACGUACAAGCAGUGGGAGCACAGGUUUACCUGUGUGACUGCGUACCUUUUGUAUAAUGGGUCAGCGACUUAUAUUCUGUAGCAAGGUUAACCGAAUAGGGGAGCCGGAGGGAAACCGAGUCUUAAUUGGGCGUUAAGUUGCAGGGUAUAGACCCGAAACCCGGUGAUCUAGCCAUGGGCAGGUUGAAGGUUGGGUAACACUAACUGGAGGACCGAACCGACUAAUGUUGAAAAAUUAGCGGAUGACCUGUGGCUGGGGGUGAAAGGCCAAUCAAACCGGGAGAUAGCUGGUUCUCCCCGAAAGCUAUUUAGGUAGCGCCUCGUGAAUUCAUCUCCGGGGGUAGAGCACUGUUUCGGCUAGGGGGCCAUCCCGGCUUACCAACCCGAUGCAAACUGCGAAUACCGGAGAAUGUUAUCACGGGAGACACACGGCGGGUGCUAACGUCCGUCGUGAAGAGGGAAACAACCCAGACCGCCAGCUAAGGUCCCAAAGUCAUGGUUAAGUGGGAAACGAUGUGGGAAGGCCCAGACAGCCAGGAUGUUGGCUUAGAAGCAGCCAUCAUUUAAAGAAAGCGUAAUAGCUCACUGGUCGAGUCGGCCUGCGCGGAAGAUGUAACGGGGCUAAACCAUG